GAUAAUAAAUCUCACCCUAGAGAUCCUUUUCCGACUUACUGGAGAGGACUACACAGUAGUGAAGAAGACCUCUAGUGAGCGCUGUCAGGACCCUGUGUCUGAAGGAUGGGGAGGAACCCUGAGCCCAAUCAUGGGGCCUCCACCUAACCCCCUGAUACACGAGGAAAUCAAUAGAAAGAAGAUCCUAGAACUCACCAACAAGAUGAUUGAGCUGCUGACUGGAGAGGUUCCUAUAAGGUGUCAGGAUGUCACCGUCUAUUUCUCCAUGGAGGAGUGGGAGUAUUUAG